rnacentral:rRNA from 1 species
UACAGAGGGGGCAAGCGUUAUUCGGAAUUAUUGGGCGUAAAGGGCGCGUAGGCGGCUUGGCAAGUGGAUGGUGAAAUCCCUCGGCUUAACCGAGGAACUGCCGUCCAAACUGCUUCGCUUGAGACCGGGAGAGGUGAGUGGAAUUCCCAGUGUAGCGGUGAAAUGCGUAGAUAUUGGGAGGAACACCAGUGGCGAAAGGCGGCUCACUGGACCGGUACUGACGCUGAUGCGCGAAAGCGUGGGGAGCAAACGGG